ensembl:snRNA U6 U6 spliceosomal RNA
UUGCUUCAGUAGCAUACUUACAAAAGAUUGAACAAUACUUAGAAGAUUAGCAUAGCCUCUGCACAAGGAUGACUUGCAAAUCUGUGAAGUGUUCCAUAUUAAC